rnacentral:misc_RNA from 1 species
GAUGAAGAACGUAGCGAAAUGCGAUAAGUAAUGUGAAUUGCAGAAUUCAGUGAAUCAUCGAAUCUUUGAACGCACAUUGCGCCCGCCAGUAUUCUGGCGGGCAUGCCUGUUCGAGCGUCAUUUCAACCCUCAGGACCCUUUGGACCUGGUGUUGGGGCUCGGCCGCUACCCCGCGGCCGUCCCCGAAAGAUAGUGGCGGUCUCGCUGUAGCGUCCUCUGCGUAGUAAUUACACCUCGCACUGGAACGCGGCGCGGCCACGCCGUUAAACACCCCACCUCUCAAGGUUGACCUCGGAUCAGGUAGGAAUACCCGCUGAACUUAAGCAUAUCAAUAAGCGGAGGA